rnacentral:rRNA from 1 species
UAUUGGUCAAUGGGCGAGAGCCUGAACCAGCCAUCCCGCGUGCAGGAUGACGGCCCUAUGGGUUGUAAACUGCUUUUCUGCGCCAAGAAACCUGUCAACGAGUUGACAGCUGACGGUAGCGCAGGAAUAAGCACCGGCUAACUCCGUGCCAGCAGCCGCGGUAAUACGGAGGGUGCAAGCGUUAUCCGGAUUCAUUGGGUUUAAAGGGUGCGCAGGUGGGAAUGUAAGUCAGGGGUGAAAGUCUGCGGCUCAACCGUAGGACUGCCCUUGAUACUGGUGGCCUUGAGUUGUGGUGAAGCAGCCAGAAUAUGUGGUGUAGCGGUGAAAUGCAUAGAUAUCACAUGGAAUACCGAUUGCGAAGGCAGGCUGCUAACCAUAUACUGACGCUGAUGGACGAAAGCGUGGGUAGCGAACA